rnacentral:rRNA from 1 species
GACGAACGCUGGCGGCGUGCUUAACACAUGCAAGUCGAACGGAGGAUUUAUUUCGGUAAAUCCUUAGAGGCGAACGGGUGAGUAACGCGUGGGCAACCUGCCCUUCAGAUGGGGACAACACCCCGAAAGGGGUGCUAAUACCGAAUACGAUCGUUUUCCCGCAUGGGGAUGCGAUGAAAGAUGGCCUCUGUUUAUAAGCUAUCGCUGAAGGAUGGGCCUGCGUCUGAGUAGCUAGUGGGUGGGGUAACGGCCUACCAAGGCGAUGAUCAGUAGCCGGUCUGAGAGGAUGAACGGCCACAUUGGGACUGAGACACGGCCCAAACUCCUACGGGAGGCAGCAGUGGGGAAUAUUCCGAAAUGGACGAAAGUCUGACGGAGCAACGCCGCGUGAGUGAUGAAGGUUUUCGGACUGUAAAGCUCUGUUGUUCAGGACGAAAGUGCCUGUUGCAAAUAGUUACAGGUAUUGACGGUACCUUACCAGAAAGCCACGGCUAACUACGUGCCAGCAGCCGCCGUAACAC